GUACGUGAAACCGCUUGAGUCAAACGGGUGGGACCUCGAAAUCCGAUGACGAAUCGAUUCACGUCCACUGCGGGUGUGUGAUUGGCGUUUGCGUAAUAGAGGGUUUCGGCCUUUUGUUUGCUGCGUUGGUUAGUGCACGCUUGCGGUGGGUCGGCAUUUCGUUUCGUCGGUAGGGCGUCAUGCGACCACUGAGGGGACGUUAGUAGGGCUAUUAUCGGAAGUUGGUUGCGGCAUUCGCAAUGUCUGCUGCAGCUAUAUAACCGUGUAGCUCGGGGCUAUCGAAAACUCAGUGUGGAUGUCAAAACUGGCCUUGCGUUUCGCGUGGGCAGCUUCAUCGGCAUGCUGAUUGUGGCGUUGUAUCGUGCUUGCGCGAUCAGCGUUGUAUGAUGCGAGUCGCUCUGGGGUUGUCUGCGUUGAGUAGGGUUGUCGCGGCGAGUAGGUCGGUAACCCACCCGACCCGUCUUGAAACACGGACCAAGAAGUGCAACAUAUACGCGAGUCAAUGAGCUACCUGUACCUCAAUGGCGUAAUGAAAUGUGAAUUUCACGUGUGAUCUGUAUAGUUUACUAUGCAGCGCAACGCGGGCCCCUCUGGUUUGUCGCAAGACGCCGGUGGGAGCUAGAGCGUAUAUGUUGCGACCCGAAAGAUGGUGAUCUAUGCCUGGGCAAGACGAAGCCAGAGGAAACUCUGGUGGAGGUUUGAAGCGUUUCUGACGUGCAAAUCGAUCGUCUGACCUGGGUAUAGGGGCGAAAGACCAAUCGAACCAUCUAGUAGCUGGUUCCCUCCGAAGUUUCCCUCAGGAUAGCUUGUACUUAUAAAAACCAGUAUCAUCCGGUAAAGCGAAUGAUUAGAGGAAUUGGGGUCUCAACACCUCAACCUAUUCUCAAACUUUUAA
rnacentral:rRNA from 1 species